CACCGCGGUUAUACGAGAGACUCAAGUUGACAGACCACGGCGUAAAGAGUGGUUAAGAUUACAAAAAAAUAAAGUCGAACGCUUUCAAAGCUGUUAUACGCAUUCGAAAGUAAGAAGCUCAUUCACGAAGGUAGCUUUACACAAAUCUGACUCCACGAAAGCUAAGCCA
rnacentral:rRNA from 1 species